rnacentral:rRNA from 1 species
CUGGAACUUAAGCAUAUCAAUAAGCGGAGGAAAAGAAACUAACAAGGAUUCCCCUAGUAACUGCGAGUGAAGCGGGAAAAGCUCAAAUUUAAAAUCUGGUGGUCUUUGGCCAUCCGAGUUGUAAUUUAGAGAAGCGUCUUCCGCGCUGGACCGUGCACAAGUCUCCUGGAAUGGAGCGUCAUAGAGGGUGAGAAUCCCGUCUUUGGCAUGGACCCCAGGGCUUCUGUGAUGCGCUCUCAAAGAGUCGAGUUGUUUGGGAAUGCAGCUCAAAAUGGGUGGUGAACUCCAUCUAAAGCUAAAUAUUGGCGAGAGACCGAUAGCGAACAAGUACCGUGAGGGAAAGAUGAAAAGCACUUUGGAAAGAGAGUGAAACAGUACGUGAAAUUGUUGAAAGGGAAACGCUUGAAGUCAGUCGCGUCGACCGAGACUCAGCCUUGCCUUGGCUUGGUGUACUUCUCGGCUGACGGGUCAGCAUCAAUUUCGAUCCUUGGAUAAUGGCAAGGGAAAGGUAGCACCUUUACAGGUGUGUUAUAGUCCUCUGUCGCAUGCAAGGGUUGGGAUUGAGGAACUCAGCACGCGCCUUGUCGGUGUCGGGGCCUUUUGGCCUACGUACGUGCUUAGGAUGCUGGCAUAAUGGCUUUAAACGACCCGUCUUGAAACACGGACCAAGGAGUCUAACAUGCACGCGAGUGUUCGGGUGGAAAACCCGUGCGCGUAAUGAAAGUAAAAGUUGGGACCUCUGUCGUGGAGGGCACCGACGCCCGGACCAGACCUUCUGUGACGGCUCUGCGGUAGAGCGUGUAUGUUGGGACCCGAAAGAUGGUGAACUAUGCCUGAAUAGGGUGAAGCCAGAGGAAACUCUGGUGGAGGCUCGUAGCGAUUCUGACGUGCAAAUCGAUCGUCAAAUUUGGGUAUAGGGGCGAAAGACUAAUCGAACCAUCUAGUAGCUGGUUCCUGCCGAAUUCCCCUCUCAGAAAAA